UGAGGAAUAUUGGUCAAUGGGGGCAACCCUGAACCAGCCAAGUCGCGUGAAGGAUGAAGGUCUUAUGGAUUGUAAACUUCUUUUACACGGGAAUAAUGCGGGGGACGUGUCCCUCUUUGCAUGUACCGUGUGAAUAAGGAUCGGCUAACUCCGUGCCAGCAGCCGCGGUAAUACGGAGGAUCCGAGCGUUAUCCGGAUUUAUGGGGUCUAAAGGGUGCGCAGGCGGGAUGUUAAGUCGGCGGUGAAAUUUUGCAGCUCAACUGUAAAAGGGCCUUCGNUACUGGCCGUCUUGGUUGUGGAUGAAGUAGUCGGAAUUUGUGGUGUAACGGUGAAAUGCUGAGAGAGCACGAGGAACUCCGAUUGCAC
rnacentral:rRNA from 1 species